AGAAAACUGAAACACUAGAGGAGAGUUGAACGCAAAUGAUUGAAAGGCUGAAAAGAUUAAGAGCUGCAUUUGGAGCCUCAUUUCUCUGGCUCGUUUGCCUCAUUUACUUCACCCAGGGUUUUAGAUACUUUGUUUGGACUGCAGUUUCUUACCAGCUGAAAGAUAGGCUCAAGUUGUCACCGUCGUCUUCCCAGAUUGUGUUUUCGAUACCUUUCUUCCCAUGGAGCAUUAAACCAUUAUAUGGGUAUGGAUCUUCUUCUACCUAGUGUAUGUGUUCUUGAGUGUGAUCAACUGGAUGGGUAGAAAAAAAACAGAGACAUGCUAGCUUCGAGGGCUAUUGCUUGCUUGAAUGUCGACAGUGCAGUAUAUGCGCCAGGAUUCUGGGCCUCUGCCACUCCACAGCUUGAUAAACUUCUUAAGCAAGCUACUCAACAGGUCAAAGAUCUCAAUAACUCAUCACAAACUCUCUACCAAGCGUGGGUUGGUUCCAGCAGUUCACCUAGAGUACGCAACUACUUCACAUAACACCCCAUAAUAUAAAACUUUGUUGCUACGUUUAAGAAAAAUUGCAAUUCAUGUUAUUUGUGUUCAACCGAUCAGCUAUUCAAGUCUUGCAUUAUCUACACAUUAUAAAUGUUGGAAGAUUUUUUUCAUGAAAUGGAUAUUUUAAACUGUAUUUUUCAUACAAAGUUUAGCAGGUUGGGAAGUGGAGAAUCUGAUUUUGCAGCUUUUGUUCAAAAUAAUGGAAUUCCGUCUGCCGACAUGACUUUCUGUAAAGGAUAUCCAGUAUACCAUGCCAUUCCAUGUAUGAUGACUUUGUAUGGUUGGAAAAUUUGGUGAUCCAUUCUUUCAUAGGCAUGUUGCAGUGGCAAACUUAUGGGGUUUGAUAGCUCUUUGGCUAGCGGAUGCAGAGUUUUUGCCUUUUAUACAUCCUAUGCGCUGGAGCUACAGAAAUACAUGAAGGAUUUGGAAGUCAAAAUCUUAGAUAAGAACAUUAACCUAACUCCUCUGUUCAAGUCCAUUGAGGAGCUCAAAAAAGCAGCCACAAUAAUCAACAACCAGAGAAAGUUAUCAAUCGUAUUUCCCAUGAAUCUUGAUCGACAUUUAAUUUCAUGAAUGUUCUAAAUUGGAAGCAUAAGUGUACAGGAAAUAGAACAAAACAAAGGUUGCCCUUCAAAAUGGAAGAAGGAACAUUAUCAUUCUUCUUCUGAAGGAAGCCAAGAAUAAAGAUUGUCAUUGCAAAGAACAAGAGCAGCAAAGCCACACUUCAAAGAUAUUCAAGUUGUAAGACAGAUCUUUUCAUUGCAUAUAUGUUUGAGUUUCGCUUAUUGAAAGGAUGAUACUUACAUGCGCAUCUUUCUGUUUUGGUACAAUAAUGAACAUUGUAGGUCCAGAAUUUAAUUGAAAGGUGUCUGCAGUUGUGUAUGAAAGGAGAUGAAGUUGUCAAUAUCCUCUUAGAUUGUGCUAGGAUUGAGCCUGUGUUUACGAACUUGGGUAUGGCAGUGUACUACUCCACAUAAUUUAUAUUGCAUGAGAAUAAAGCCUAAUCGCUGCCUUUGAUUUGACA